GACGAACCGUCCGAACGUUAUUCGGAAUCACUGGGCUUAAAGGGCGCGUAGGCGGGACCGUAAGUCAGGGGUGAAAUCCCACGGCUCAACCGUGGAAGUGCCUUUGAUACUGCGGACCUCGAGGUGGGUAGGGGCGUGCGGAACUUCCGGUGGAGCGGUGAAAUGCGUAGAUAUCGGAAGGAACACCGGUGGCGAAAGCGGCACGCUGGGCCCGUACUGACGCUGAGGCGCGAAAGCCAGGGUAGCAAACGGG
rnacentral:rRNA from 1 species